AUGUUACGGAAUAACACAAUUUCUCCAAUACCUGGGUGGGUUUACGUGCAUUUGUUUAACAAUCGAUCUGUGGAACUGACAUCAUAAUAAGCACUUGGUGUGUUUCCUCACCUGUAGGCAUGCCCCAUGGCAAAGAUUCCAACUAAUUAGACCAGAGGUGGGCAAUGAGGGCUGUAUCCGUUUGUGGUUUUCAUUUUUUGAUAAGCGCGUGAUUUCCAACCAAAUACACCAUGUUUUUGUGUCCCUAUCUGUUUACUGUGAUCUAAUCUACAAGUGAAGUAGUGAUGGUGUAUACAGUUAGCUCGUUUAGCCAGGGUAAUUGGAGGCAACAAAAGCCUGUAUAUACACACAGACCCUCCAGGACCAGAAUUGCCCACCCUUGGAUUAGACCUUGGGUUCACAAACUCGUGCACAAACUUGAAGGAUCUGAGAGUAUGCUGGUUUCAAUUCCAACCACAGUGGCAACCCUGGAAUUGUAACAAGCUGUUAAUUGUUCUUAAUUAGGCACUUUUAGCAUCCAUUGAGGGAUGAUUUACCAUUUCAAGGCCCCAUUAUGUCAGCAACCACUAUGCAUGCCAUAAAGAACAAAUGUUCCACAUUCCCAUCCCAGCACUUGUAAUCAAUCAAAAUGGCUAAUUGGGCAAAAUCCUUUCAUUUUUCCCAAAGGAACUUUGGUUGUGCUAUCGGUGUCAAAAAUAAAGUAUGCAAUGCAAACAAACUAAUGCUUUCAUUUUCAAUGUGUAAUUAUAAAUGUGUACAUGCUUAAUGAUACUCUUGGGAAGUGAUUGCCUUGUUUAAUUGACUACACUAUAGACGCACAGGUGAAUUAAGUUGGGUUCUAAUUGCUGAAAGUGUGUACACCUGGCCACUAAUAAAACAUUUUGAAUGAAUUUGUAUUCAUGCCUGUAUUCAACAAAUAAUUGUCCCAUAUUUUGGCAGUAACAACCUGUGUAUGCAGGGGUCCCCCAAGACCAGGGGUGGGAAGUUCCUGGUGGAAAGUCCAGGGGUCAGAAAGUAAAAAUCCUGCCAUGUGUUUCUUCUACAUGAAGUCAGCCAACUGAUUUAACCAAAUACUUCUACCUCCUGGGUGAAGAAUUGCAUCAACCAGCAAAUCCAGACACCCUUAUCUAGGCAAGGCCAUUGGAAACCUCCCUGCAGUGGGUGGAGUCAGGGUUAUUCAAAUACAGCUUGGCCAUAGAGGUGGAGCGGGGAUGCCUUUAG